AGAUGAUCGUGUUGUGUGAUCAGCAGUUAAUCGUCCAUAAAAUUCAAUAUUUUCCCUAUAAUUGAACCACCCUUAAAAAACCCCCCUGAAUAAACUAACAUGUGAGUGCCAGUGUGUUCCAGCCAGUGCGUACCAAAAAAACCCCUAAGAAACAAUAAGUACAAAGAGUGUGGGGGCUCUAUUGUUUAUGUUAUGAUAUAGGUUUUAAUUGAAAUCAGCAGUGCCCCCCUUAAUGACUAUUAAUAGUUGGCAUAUUAAGGCGUAAAUACGAUUAGAUUUAGGGCAAAUUGUGAAAUAAAGGAGCCACAAUAUGACAUCAAUUACAAUGGAAGAGUACGACCUGAUGAAGGAGUCAAAGUAUCGGAUGUAUGUGGCCGCAGUGGAUAAGGCUUUGAAGAAUUUCGAAUACACUUCUGAGUGGGCAGACCUUAUUUCCGCAUUGGGAAAGUUAAAUAAGGUGUUACUGAGCUACACAAAAUUCCAAGUGAUUCCCCGCAGGAUAAAAAUAAGUAAGCGGUUGGCACAGUGUAUGCACCCCGCUUUGCCCUCCGGGGUGCACCUGAAAGCCCUGGAGACUUAUGAUAUUAUAUUUAAGUGUAUGGGCACGGACAGGUUGGCCUGUGAACUUUUUAUUUAUAGCUCUGGUUUAUUCCCUCUGAUGAGCCAUGCGGCGAUGAACAUCCGUCCAAUGUUACUAACGAUCUACGAAACGCAUUUUGUUCCUUUAAGGGCGCGACUCAGACCGGCUCUAAGCGGUUUUUUAAGCGGCAUUUUACCGGGUUUAGACACCGGUACGGACCAUUUCGAUAGGACCAAUAAGUUACUAGAAGACGUAUGCGAGGGCGUAGACCCUCACUACUUUUACACGUGCAUCUGGCAAUGUGUGGCCAACAACAGUCCGGUGAGACUGCCGGCUGUAGUGUACGUUUACGCGCACUACAGCCGGAAAAUCCCCAUGGAAGAUCAGCUGUAUCUAAUGGGGCACGAUAUAGGGCUAAUGGUUUCUGGAUUGUGUGCGGCCGUCCAGGAUGCCAACAUCCUGGUCCAGAGGUCCGCCCUGGACCUGCUCAUGGUGUGUUUUCCCAUGCAAAAUAAGCAACUUUUGUACGCGGAUAUGGUCAGGCUGGUCACUGCCGCCCUCUCGACCAUUUUACGAAGGGAUAUGUCCCUUAAUAGACGUCUUUACUCGUGGCUUCUGGAAACCGAGUCCAAAUUACCGCUGGUCCAGAUUGACGGCGAACAAUCCGACGAAUUCCCGUCCACCCAGACCCACUCUAUCGCCUACGAUUUAUUAAACGAUGCAGUGAAGGAUAUUUUGAAAAAGUCCAGUUCGAAUGUCCCUCUGGACGUGAAAUGUUACCGUUUGCUCACCUCGUUAUUCGAAAAAUCCCAGAUAGGUCCCGUAAUCUUGGACGGGAUUUUAUACGACGUGUUCAGGACGUUGUACUUGUCCUGUUUGAGUUUGCAAAAGUACAAAAACCAAACGGUGAGGUGCGUGUCCUUCAACGGGGAUCUGAGCAGCUUGAAGGGCAACGACGGGGGGUUGAACAAACAGUUCGUAUCGAAGAACUGUCAGGAAUUAGUGAAAAACGCCAAUUUACUGUUUAACACCCUGCAAAGCUACUAUAUCUGGAGCUACAUCGAGAAAUUAUACGAGGAAGCGGCUAAGAACAUCAAAAAAUUCAAAUACCGCGACCGGUGUCAAGUAAACGAGAUCGGAAGCGGCCCCCCGUUCGUAUUGGAGCUGUGCAUUUUGACCGAUUUCCUACUGGACAUAAUCCCUAUUGAAUCAUACGCGGAGAGCACCUCCAACAUCCUCCCCAGUCUGUUUAAUAAAAUAAUUAAGUCCCUCACCGCCCACGUAUCCGACCUUAACCACUACGAAAUACUGAAGAGUUUGGAGCUUUGCACGAAGAUUUUAACGAAAAUUCAACCGAUCACCAUGACUCAGAUGCAAAAGAAGUUGGAGGAGGAAGAGGAGGAGGAGCAGCGGGUCGCUAAUCAACUCCCGGAGGUUCAGAAAAGUGAGGAAACUGGUGGGGAGGAACCGGGGCCGAGGCCUAUAGAGAAAAGCAAAUCGGAUUCUAAGAUCAGUGAGAAUUUAAAUGGGUUCGUUGAUAAGCACGAGUUGACUGUCGAGGAGGGAACCAGGGAAAGGUCCUACAGUAACCAAUUUCCCAAAAAGAAAGAGAAAACGAGCCCGCGCAUCGAAAAAAAGUCAAAAAACAAGAAAUCCAAGUCGAGUUCGAAGCUGUACGACCUAAAAAACGAGGAAACCGACUCGAUUUCGUCGUCGCAACUGUCCACCCCGGAGGAUAGUUUCGAAACAUCUUCGAAAGAGGGCACCCCGUUGGCCCUCGCUCCCGCCAAAUACGAAAACAAGCACUUUCUGAAGUGUUUGGAGGAGUACAAGAGGUUUUUUGUGUCGUUCGUUAAGCACAAAAUCCUCCCGGGGGUGGACGUAAAGGCCUCCUUUAAAAAGCUUGUGUGCGACAAGGACGAGCGUACGAAACUCUUACAGCGGCUGUUGGAUGAACGUUUAACCAACAAACAGUCCGAGUUCACCCCGGUGGACUAUACGAAAACCUUAAAAAGGAAAAAGAACGGUUCCUACAGCCUCCCCAUAGACUCGAACUCAAUUUACGAAACUUGCAUGAGCGUGGCAUGCGCGAUUCUUUUGGAGUUUUGCGCUUUUCCCAAUUUGACUAAUCAUAGCGAGAAUAAAGUCCCUAAUUGGUUGGAGGCUCUCCUGGUGUCCGCUUGCUCAAGAGAGAGUUCCAGGGAGAUCCAACUGACCGCCAUGAGCACCCUUCUGGAGAUUUUCAGCCUCUCAAAGAACCAACAUUACCUAAAAAAAUAUGAGAGCGAGAAGAACAUCAUCAUCACCGGGAUCCUGGACCAUCGCCACGUCACUUUUGUAGAGGAGGACAUGAUCGCCAUCGAGGAAAUGUCCGGGAUCCUUUGGGCCCUUUUGGGCACCGUGAAAAACCAAAACCAACUGAUGGUUUGCGUGACCCUUUUGUAUCAGAUCCAUAACACUUUCGACACGAAAAUGUUCGUGGAGCAAGUGAUCGGGCGAUAUUUGUCGCGCGACAUCGUCGACGUGAAUUAUAUCAAGCAGUUUUGUUUGCUGUGGCAUUUGGGGAGGGAUUUGAACAUUAAGGUGCCCGCCCAUAAGCAGAGCUGCAGGAACUUCGACAGGUCUUUGUUGAAGAUCCUGGAUAUGCUGGAAAACGGGGAGAAACCGGCCGUGCAACUGUUGGCCGAGUCGUUUUUGACCCACAGUCUGUUACAAAACGACAUUUGCAGGAUUCUAAAUCCGAUUUUGUUGCAACUGUUGGCCAGUAAUACGGCCAGGGUGUCCAUAAGGCACGUGAAUAUCCAGGAUGGGUAUGUGAACUGUGAGCAAACUGACCAGGGCGGUCAGAUAUUGGAGGAAUCUCAGGCCAAGAAGAUUUACGCGGUCAGUAACGUUAACGGCAAUGUGAUGUACCACAUGACCGAGAGCCCCCCCGCAAAAUCCCCGAAAAAGCGCUGGUUCGCCUUUUCGAAAUCCGACAAAAAAUACUCGUCCGCUAUAAACAUGACAACCAGCCUAAACGAGGACAGCAACAGCAUCGUAACGAAGAAAAACAAAGACUUUAAAGGGUACGACGUCUCCCCCAAUUUGGAAAAACCCUCCAAAGGAAACGUGAAACUCAUUAUCAACCCUCUGAGCAGCAAAGAAAUCUACCCGGUGGGGCUGGACGGGUCUUAUGCCAGAAGGAGCUCGCAUAGUUCCUUGGACAGCUAUUCUAGCAACGACAACACUAUUAGUAACGACGAUUCUAUCGAUAGGAAAGUUUUUGACUCUCUAGCAGCUGAAAGCGGUUAUGACUCUCUGAAACAUAAUAAUAAACAAACUGAAUAUAUCAACGCCUUGGUGGAUAACGGUAAAAAAGCCUUGCUAGAAAGCAUGGAGCCAAUAUCCAACGGUAUUCGUCCAGGUUUACUGGCGAAAUCCCACAGUUUUGACGAGAAAAUCACCGAGACCACCAACACCGAAAGUUCUUUGGUGCAAAGUUGGUCCUACUGCAUCUCCGACUCGGCAAACCUCCAUGGGGAGCUGGAGUUUAGUAAAAGUGCCGAAGACUUCUUCAGAGGCAAAUAUGAAGAGUACGACAUAGUCACCGGAAUAUUAAAUAAAAUAAUCGACGAUGUGUGUUCGAGGGUGGAGCAAGACCAGACCACCCCCCAGAGACCGACGGAGUUGGACCUGAAAACGAAAAUAAACACCUCGAACUCGAAGAAUUUCGUACUUUACCCCAUACACUCGCACAUGUGCCUUUACUACGAAAUGUUCGACUCUGGCCGCAUAAUUUACGCCCUACGUACGUUAAAACGGUGCGUCCUGUGCCACCCCAAGUUGUUUAUUAAGUGCACCGCCACCAGUGGGAUAAAAAAUCUGAAAAACAAUGAGAUUUUGUAUCUGUUGGCCAGGCAUCGGAAGAGUUUGUUCGGGCAGGGGUUCGGGGGCGAGGUGGGGCAGGAGCACUUGAACUUUUUCAGGGGUUACAUGUUUCUGGACGUCGUGUUGUCGAUUUGUAUGAAUUAUGCGAGGACGUUUUUUCCCUUUUUGGCCGAGUUUAGGAGGGAGGACGUUGCGGGUGCUGCUUGGAAGGACGAAACCAUAACCGAGGAACUCGAAAACAACAUAAAAAUCCAACUGGAAUCCUUGGAAAUCCUACACAUAAUCGUCGAAAACCUAAUAUCUAUCAUCGAGGAGAACAACAACAAAGGCUUCUCCAGCUACAUCGCCGACCUCCUGGUCAAGUGCAAAAUCCAAAAAAUCCUCCUCCACUGUCUCCUCACCUCCGUAAGGGACUUCGACAGCGACAUGACCUUCGCCGAAGACAUUCUGCUCUUCAACAACUUCCAGCUGUGCAACGCGGAAAACAGGCUCGGGGAGCACGUGGAGGCUUUCCAGAUCCAACUUUUACGGCUCAUCCACUCCCUGAUUAUCCUGGAACAUUUGGUGUUUCCCAGUGCGAAAACCAGCACCGGCCAAACCACCCCGGAGGUCUCUAGCGGUUCUUAUAUUAACGAACAUCUGAAUUAUAAGCCUCUAGUGCUGAUUCCUAAGCAGCAAAUCUUCUUGUCGGCCAUCCUGAGCGCUUUGAGGAACGAUAAUAUGCGCGGGAUGCACGAAAAGUGGCUCAAUAUGGUCACCAGUUGCUUACCGUACUUUGGGAAUAAUUUGAGGCAGAUUUCUAUCAGCGUCAUACAUCAAAUUUGCAAUAAUAUCGAAGAUCUUGCGUCGAACUACAAGAACGCUUCACUGGACGAAUCCGAGCUGAGUUCCGACUACGCGGUCACACAACUGGAAUCUUUAACGAUUCUUUGCCACUAUUGUCUGUUGGACGCGUCUCAGACCGCCAAUCAGAACGUGCCGCCCGCCUCUACGAGUACCACCCCCCAAAUGGUGAACCCCGGGGAGAUUUUGAACAAUUUGGUCAAUGUCUUUUUUUCCCCGUUGAGUACCGACAUGAAUUUUUCCUCUAAGCAUACGUCGGAUCAUUAUCAGAACGCCAGGAAGACCAUUUUGAGCCACAUGCCCAGGAUUAUUUCCAGUGUGGCCAAGCUGUGGCAAACGGUCGUGGGCAUGGAAAACGACUACAGCAGCGUAUACGGCAAUUCGAAAACAGUAAAGCAGCAACUUUUAGAGUUCCUAAGCCCGAUAGCGGUACACCACGGCGCCAGUUUCUUGGCUGCCGUGGCUGUAGCCUGGUACGAGCGAAGGAGUCAGCUAAGCAUUAAGGCUGUGCUGCCAGAGCCAAACGUAGGCCAAAACAAUUUGGUUUACUUAAUUUCCGCCAUCAGGGUUAUCCCUUUGGAUAAUUUAGUGCAAACGGUCACCGCGGUUAUUAAAAACCCUCCUCCUUGCGAGGGUCUAAGCGCCGACAUCUGCCUGGACGUUUCCGUACUAGAACUGUUUUAUUGUUAUAUGCGUAACGCCUCCGCCACCCAACUGUCGGAGGCCUGGGGCUCCCUACUGUCCUUAAUAAGGGAAGUAAACUCGCUCAGUGCGUCCGCGCAGUUCUUACUGGCGGCCAUAUUGCACGAAAUGAUGAUCAAGUGCUGCCCCCUGGAGGAGCGGAAAGAUCAAAAGGAUUUACAAGAUGUCACCGCAAAAUUGAUCGAUUGCGUGUCGCAAGUGUGCGGUUCCUGUUUGGAACAAACCACGUGGCUCAGGCGGAAUUUCGCGGUGAGGGAACAGGAGGAGGACGCCACCCCGGAAAACAGCAUUUCCAGUGGCGUUCCCAGCGAUUUCCUGCUGACGUCCAGUCACAGCGUCCAGGCCCAACUGGUUCUAGCGGAAAUUCUAUCCCCGAUCCUGGACAUUUGCUUCGGGUCCUCGGAAAAGGACAAGGUGAACAACAUCCUCGCCUCCCUGAUGUGCAACAUCGUCCCGUAUUUGAAAACUCACACCGUGAAAAACAUGCCGAGUUUCAACGCUUGCUCGAAACUCUUGUCCAGCCUCAGCAGCUACCAGUACACCCGGAAAGCCUGGAAAAAGGACGUGUUCGACUUGCUACUGGACAACGCGCUGUUCCAGAUGGACCAUUCCUGUUUGAAGUAUUGGCGGGUGAUCGUUGAUAAUUUAAUGACGCACGACAAUACGACUUUUAGGGAUUUGAUGAAUCGGGUGUCCAUGACUCAGAGUGGCACUCUGGGGAUAUUCUCGUCCAGGGAGCAGGAGUACGAGCAGCGCGCGCAACUUUUAAAACGGCUGGCCUAUGUGAUAUUUUGCAGCGAGAUCGACCAGUAUGCCAAGUAUAUGCCGGAAAUUCAGGAGCAAUUGACAUCAAGUCUAAGACUGAACGUGCCGAGCAUCCAGGCGCAAGUUUUCAUGUGCUUCCGGGUGAUCCUGAUCAGGAUGAGCCCCCUGCACGUGACCAGCCUGUGGCCAAUCAUAAUAAGCGAAAUGUUGCAAGUGUUCCUGCAAAUCGAACAGGAGUUGAGCAACGAUACGGAGGCCUUCAGCUCUUACAUAAAACUGAUGUCCACCCUGGACUCGAGCUGGUCAACCAAUAGCAGCAACGGCCUACACGCCCUGGGCCACCCCCACUGGCUCCGUCUCCAACUAUCCACGGCAAAACUAUUAGACUUAGCCCUCCUGCUGCCAGCCACCACCUUACCUCAGUUCCAAAUGUAUAGGUGGGCCUUCGUGGGCGACGACUUGCACCCAAAAUCCGUUCCCGCGGACCUCCAGGGAACCUCCAAAAUCUCCUUUACCCCCCACGUGGUCCGGAUCGCCGAAAUUAUGGAUCGUAAGUUCGCGCAGGCCGAGUCGCAGAUCGACAUUUUGCCGAUGAAGAGGAACGAGCUGUUGCUCACGAUGAACUCGAUCGGGCAGCUGAAGGAUCUGCACAGUUUCUUUAAGACGUUGAGCUCGUGCUCGAACAGGCACAGGACCGAGUGCACCAGGUCGGUGGCGAGCGAUAAUUUGUUCGCCGAUCGACAGAGCGAUAAGAAGUUGGACCUGAUCUUGGAGAAGAUCGAUAAGGUGGUCGAGGCGGAUUUUCUCGAUAAAAUUGCCCGGUAGAAGUGAGUUUUUUUGGUUUGUUGUUAUUGGGGGAGGUCGAUGUGAGGCUCGUUUAGUUGACGGGGGUGUUUUCGGUUUGGGUCAGAUGUCGAGGAGGGUGAGCUGAGGUAUGAGUAUGUAAUGAGUAAAAAUGAUAAUGGGAGUGCGGAUUAAAAGGCAGGUUUUAGCUUCCCAACAUAGUUGAAGCCUAUUAUAAAAUCAAGAUUACUUAGGCUACUGGUAUAAUUCAUUUACAGCAGGUAAGGUAAUCCCUGAGGAUGUAUUUGGUGUUUCUAUAACUGAAAAAGUUUUUGAGUUAGAGCUAUGUUUGUAUAAUAGAGUCCCAACCCAGGCAAGACAUAUGAAGAAAUGUUCAUUAUAGGCAGACAAUUUUUACUGUAGUUCAAAAACUAUUUGAGUAAUAUUUAUAAUUCUUUCACAGCAAGAUCAAGUAAUCCCUAAGGAUGGAUUUGGUGUACGAAACGCCUUGCUAACACAAAAAUUCUACCAGAUAUAGCCAUUUUGGUAGAAGUCACAUUAUUUUCAAUGUUUCAACUUCUCACGUAUUAUACUUUUUUUACUAAUCUAGAGCGUUUUUUAACAAAUAUUUUGAUGUAUGAACGAUUUCUGUAGCUCAAAGGGUUUUUGAGUUAAAGCUAAGUUUGUACAGCAAAGUCCCUACCCAGGCAAGAGAGAAUAAAAAUUUCAUUAUAGGCAGACAAUCUUGAUUGUAGUUUAAAAAGUACUUAAGUCAUUUUUAUAAUUUUUUCACAGCAGGAUCAGGUAAUCGCUGAGGAUGGAUUUGGUGUACGAAACGUCUUGCUAGCACAAAAAUUCUACCAGAUGCAGCCAUUUUGGUAGAAGUACAUUGUAAGGUCACAUUAUUUUCAAAGUUUCAACUUCUCACGUAAAUAUCUCGACAUUAAUGGAGGCAUUUAAUUUGAACUUUUUUUACUAAUCUAGAGCGUUUUUCAACAAAUAUUUUGAUGUAUGAACGAUUUCUGUAGCUCAAAGGGUUUUUGAGUUAAAGCUAAGUUUGUACAGCAGAGUCCCAGCCCAGGCAAAAGAGAAUAAAAUUUUCAUCAUAUGCAGACAAUUUUGACUGUAGUUCAAAAACUACUUAAGUAAUUUUUAUAAUUCUUUCACAGCAGGAUCAAGUAAUCCCUGAGGAUGGAUUUGGUGUACGAAACGUCUUGCUAGCACAAAAAUUCUACCAGAUACAGCCAUUUUGGUAGAAGUACAUUGUAUGGUCACAUUAUUUUCAAAGUUUCAACUUCUCACAAAUAUAUCUCUACAUUAAUGGAGGCAUUUAACUUGAACUUUUUUUACUCAUCUAGAGCGUUUUUCAACAAAAAUUUUGAUGUAUGAACGAUUUCUGUAGCUCAAAGGGUUUUUGAGUUAAAGCUAAGUUUUUACAGCAGAGUCCCAACCCAGGCAAAAGAGAAGAAAUUUUCAUCAUAUGCAGACAAUUUUGACUGUAGUUCAAAAACUACUUAAGUAAUUUUUAAUAAUUCUUUCACAGCAAGAUCAAGUAAUCCCUGUGGAUGGAUUUGGUGUACGAAACGUCUUGCUAGCGUAAAAAUUCUACCAGUUACAGCCAUUUUGGUAGAAGUCACAUUAUUUUCAAAGUUUUAACUUCUCACGUAGAUAUCUCGACAUUAAUGGAGGCAUUUAAUUGGAACUUUUUUUACUAAUCUAGAGCGUUUUUCAACAAAAAUUUUGAUGUAUGAACGAAUUCUGUAACUCAAUGGGUUUUUGAGUUAAAGCUAAGUUUGUACAGCAGAGUCCCAACCCAGGCAAAAGAGAAUGAAAUUUUCAUCAUAUGCAGAAAAUUUUGACUGUAGUUCAAAAACUACUUAAGUAAUUUUUAUAAUUCUUUCACAGCAAGAUCAAGUAAUCCCUGUGGAUGGAUUUGAUGUAAGAAAUGUCUUGCUGGCACAAAUAUUCUACCAGAUACAACCAUUUUGGUAGAAGUCACAUUAUUUUCAAAGUUCUCAACUUCUUACGUAGAUAUUUGUACAAUAUUUGAGGCAUUUCUAUAACUCAAAAUGUUUUUUCCACAAGGUUAUUCUUACAAAAUCUAAUAGUUCCACUGAUUCACUUCUUUGAAGACCAAAUAUGAUAACACUCUUCUUCCUAAGACGUCGUUCUAGUGCACGAUUAUUUAAAUUUAGUUGAUCACACUCUUUGUCGGUUUAAUUAACUGGUGUUGUUGUUCUUCGACGCUGAUUGCAAGAGUCGAGAUCUGUACAUCAAUAUGGCUUUUCAGAGUAUUUGUAAUACGAUCUUCAGUUUGGCUGUCAUAAUUUUACACAAAUAUCAUCAUUACUUAGUUAAGACAUGUCAGACAAUAAGUAAGUAUUUAGCAAACAAGGGAAAAGAAAAAAAUCCUAAGCUGGAGUUUAGCAACAUGUAAUUAAGAAGCAAAAAAUGACUAGACAGGAAGUAACACAGGGAUACUCGCUUCUCCCCCUGGGGCUUAUCAGGGCAUUUAAGCACACAGAAACACAGGCAGUCCCCGGAUAAGGUUGGGAUACACUAAAAUAUAAUUAACGACUUCUUAGUUGGGGGUUUUUGAAUGAGCCUUUCAGCUCCUAUAGAAGAGAAAUGGAUCCAAGAAGCAAAAUUUACUGGAAAAUUGACCGAAACUCCCUUGAAUUCAAUCAGAAUUUACCCUAAAACCCCCACUCGCAAACCCUUUUUCUGUGUUACACAUCUGACCCAAAAACUCCUCAAAAAACAAAUUUUAUUCGCGACCACAUUCGUGUAUCGAGGUUGUGACUUAAAUUACUCGCUUAAAAACCCAUAAAACGUUAGAAAUAAAUAAAAGCGUCGUAUACAGGGUAUAUUUUAACAAAAAAAAAACUCGCUUUCCUGCUUCGGGACGAGGUCUAGGUCGGUUUUUGGCCUAAGAACGUCAUUUGCUGCCGGUAAAGUUGUUUCCUUUGUUCGCCCAAAGAAAUCAGUAUUAAAUGCGGUGCAUUUAACAGUAGUAAUGUCAAUGAUAUAGCGUAAAUAAAGGUACCUUUGGCAAAAGUAUCUUUGGCGGCCAUUUUGUUGUUGUUGUUGGCACGACAAAAUGGCGGCCAGUACUUUAGUUUUUAGGGCUCCAGUGUGUAUACUAUCCUGUUAUUGUUGUGUUAAAGUUUAUUAAUUGAUUUUUUAAUGGAUUAAGUCUUAAAUAUGCUUUUUUCUUAUUUAUUUUUGAGUAUUUAGUCCCUAACAACGUAGGUGCAAUUUUUCAUGAUAAGCAUUUAAUAUUAUAUAUGAUAAAAUGUGAUUUUAUAUUGUGAUGUUAAUACAAAAUAUAAGGGGCUUUAUUGCCCUCCGUUAUUAUUUGUUGUCUAUAUGAUUACUUCGAAUAAAUAAAAGUGCGAUUUUUUUUU
rnacentral:misc_RNA from 1 species